UUAUGAUCAGCUGAGGAGUCCGGUGAUCCGCAGAGGAACGGAAAGAAGUCGGUGGAAAUUCACACGUUGACUUGAAUGAUUACGAUCAGCUGUUAUUGGCGGAUAUGACCUUUUCGUAGCUGUUCCGGAAGUGGUGGAAACUGGAGGUAAGUGUUGCAAACACACAAGGGUCCUCUCCAUGCUAUCCCAGAUUUGUCCUCCUCAGACUGCAGCUUCAGGGUUCUGUCCUGGCUCCUCUCUCUCUGGGGUGAAAAGGUUAUUAAAGGGCACGUUUGAUUUGUUCAAGAAAAAAGAUUUUAUUGAAGUCGUAAAAACUUCCUCCAACUUUUCUCUGAAAGUUGGAAACGUCUGCAGAGAUUCAGAUCAGACAGACACUGAACGAGGCCUUUCUUCUAUUUCUCCAAAGAGGAACUGAGGGAGAAAAAAUGAAAACUUUUCAUGAAAACAGCAAAAAGUCAGAGAAAAAGAAACAGAGUUACACGGACUGUCUGGCAGAUGUCCUUUCUUUUCUUUUUCUGUCUUUCACUCACAGUCUAACACCCUCUGACUGUGCAGGAAAUCCAGCAUUGAUACGUCGGACAGGUUCCUCUCAAACACGCCGCAGAGGGAGUUGUGAACAUUUUUCAAUUUGUGCACGAGGAGUCAAAGUGUCCCCCCCGGCGGUCCGCCUGACUUCCCCGUGAAUGAACUCGGCUCCUCAUAUUAAAACACGUCUAAAAAGUUUCUAAUCCCUCAUGAGACGCCCAAAACCAGCAGCUUUGCGUCACAUUUUCCUCCCUUCAGUGUCGCAGAAACAGGCGUGACGUUGGCGAUGAAAUCCAAAGUGACAGUGAGUCUUCAGUGAAAGGAAGCUGCAGCUGUUUUAACGCUCUUUGACUUUGACCACACGCAGAGCGACAUUUGGAGUUUGUUCUCACUGAGGGAUUAAAAUCGGGGAUAUUUCAGCUCCUGCUGCUGCGCCGGCUCACAUUUGGUGAUGAAAUUAUUCUUUAAAUCUGGGAGAAUAAAUCUGAUAUUAAAGGAAAUAACAGCCGUCUAAAGGAUGAAUAUGAACGCUGAGACUCUGCCAACUCAUGAUGACAGCCCUGCUGAUGUAUUAUCACCCGGUCUGGUGAGCGUGUUAGCAAACAGCAGCUUAUUAACUCAUCAGCAGCACUCUCUGGUCACCAGAUGGUUGAGGACCGCUAAUCGCUCUUUUUCCCCCCUCCAUUCAGCUCCAGAGGGAAAUAUCAAACCCUUUGGAUGCUAAAUGCUACACUAUUUUCAGCAGCUGGUCAUUAACUUUGCUCACAGCACAAAGCAGGAGUUAAAAAAACUCUUUUCUAAAAGCAGCUCCAGCUAAAACGGCUCAUCAGAGUCAAACCGCGGUUCAACUUGAGGUUCAAUGACCCUGAAACUCAGACUUUUCACGUCACCUGUGCAGCAUCAGUUCAGAAUCCAAAUCAGUCAGACUGAAAUUUAACAAAAUUAAACUUAACAUUGUCAGACGGACAUAUCUCGAUUAUGUGGUUCGGUGAUUUUCUUUAGCAUGUACAGACGCUUCAGUGGGACGGAAACUGGCUUAACCCCACAUUUCCACCGCAUCCAAAACGGCUACAAAGAGGCCAUAUCCUCCGAUCGUAGCUGAUCGUAACCAUCCAAGUUAACGUGUCAAUUUCCACCGACUUCUUUCCGUUCCUCUGCGGAUCGCCAGACUGCACGGCUGAUCGCAAGAGUUCUUUGUUUUCCCAGAUGGCGGAUAAAUUCAGCACAGAUUAACCCGUGCUGGAAAGGAAGUCGGGCACAGACACAAAAUAAAACAUCCAGCUUCUUUUCAAAAUAAAACACUCUGUGUUUCAGGAGGAUCGUAUUUCACAACAUGCAAACGGGCGGAGACGAACAAGUGAAAGGUUUUUAGAUGCCGUUCUGGAUGCGGUGGAAAUUGGGGGUUAGAUUUAAUAUGAUUAGACUUCAAACUGUGGUCUUUUGUCUUCUGGUGCACGAUGGUCUUAGAGCUUUAGUUGCAGGAAUGUAGUCCUGAACCCGCAGCUCUCAGGUCUGCAGAUCUGUGCUCCUAAAGGGACAAAAGGGUCGUCAUUUCAAGUCUAAGUUUGGACCAAAGUCUGCAGCUCUAGUCUGGUGCUGGAGGUUUCUUUUAGCUUAGGGGUGGGCAAUCAUGUGCCAUGGAGGGCCGAGGGGCUGCAGGUUUUCUUUCCAACCCCAAACUCCACCAGGUGAUUUCACUGAUUAGUCCCUGCUCUCUGCUUGGAGGUUAUCAGUGAGAUCACCUUGUGGAGUUUGUGGUUGGAAAGAAACCUGAAGCCUCUCGGGCCUCCAUGGCACAUGAUUGCGCACCCCUGUUUUAGCUGGAUACUGGUCAGGGAGCUCCAUCACUUAGACGUGGACUUCCAUAGGCUCCUGUUUGUGUUUGUGAAGAUCAUGUUCAGACCUAAAACUGAAUUCCCCUUUAAGGAUUAUAACUGUAUGUCUUCUGAUGGAAACCAUAAACUCUACGACACCGACAGCUUCCCUGUUUUGAAAUAUGAUAUAGAAACUCUCUCAAGGACGGAUAUUGAACCAUUUACUAUCACUUUCCUUUUAUCUCAUGAUAGUUUUUUUCCCUUUUCUCUCGGCUAAAUGGCCGUUGGGUUAUUUUUUUUAUAAAUCCUUCUUGGAACCGCUUCCCUUCAAUCUCGGUCUCCUCUGCUCCACUUGAGUGGAUUAGACGGUUGGAAGAAAAUCAUCACUUUGAUCCAGAUUCUCGAGGAGAGCUCUCAGUCCCAAUAUUUCACAAUCUUGCGGUACAGUAAACACCUUCACCCUCCGUAACCCUCAUCUUCACACUUUUCUCCUCUCUCUGAUGGUGAGCCGUGGGUCAGACACAUUUUGAUCCAUCAUCUCAGCGCAAUAGUCGAGAUUUACACCAUUUCUCUCAUAACACCUCAGCCUUCAGGUGUUCGUUUUUUUCACCGCACACCUGUUACCUGCCAGACUCUGUUCUCUCCAUCAUCCAAGUAUUUCUACACACUAAAGAGUACAUGUUGUUGUUGUAAUCAUUUUUUUCUACUUCAAGACAGCUACAACAAAAAAGGAGAUUUUUAAAUAUUUAAUUGACUGAUCAGAACAGCUGAUUUGUACAAAAGAGGAUAAGGGCCACAAGAAGAGAAAAAAAAUUACAGAAAGGAAAAUAAAGUCGAAAUUUUGAGAUUGUAAAAAAUCUAAAUUAUGUCAAUGAAGUCGAAAUUUCAAGAUUAAAAUUAGAAUCUCUGGAUUAAAGUCAAGAUUUCAGAUUACAAAAAUUGAAAUUAUGUCAAUAAAGUCAAAAUUUCAAGAUUACAAAAUGUCAGUGUCAUAAGAAUUCAAAAUUUUUACAUUAAAGAAAUGAAAAUUUCAAGAUUUAAGUUGAAAUUUCAUGAUUAAAGUUAUAAUAUUGAGGUAUAAAAAUCUAAAUUAUAUCAAUAAGGUCAAAAUUUUAAGAUCAAAAAAUCAAUUACAUCAAUAAAAUUGAAAUUUUGACAUCAGAAAAAUUAAAAUUUCCAGAUUAAAGUUGAAAUUUUGAGAUUAAAGUCAAUAUUUCGAAAUUUUAAAAAUCUAAAUUUGGCAAGAAAGUCGAAAUUUGAGAUUAAAAAUUGAAAUUUCAAGAGUACAAUUAAAAUUUUGAGAUUACAAAAUGUUUAAAUGUCAGAAAAUGUUGAAAUUUUGACACUAAAAAAAUAAAAUGAGAAUAAAGUCAAGAUUUCGAGAUUAAAAACAUCAAAUUUAUGUCAAUAAAGUCGAAAUUUCAACAUUAAAAAAUCCAAAUUUUGAGAUUCAAGUCGAAAUUAAAGUUGACAUGAAUAAAGUGGAAAUAUCGACUUUUUAAAAUUUCGACUUUAAUCUUAAAAUUUCUCCUUCCUGUAAUGUAUUUUUCUUUUCUUUUUUUUUUUUGGUCCUUGUUUCAUAGAUUUGACAGCCACAGAAAAUAAACAUGAGAAGUUAUGAAUGAGCAUGUGUCGUAUGAUAAGCCCCGCCUGUAUGUUUCAAAUACAGUGGCGAUAUCUUAACGAUCUUAAUUUGAAGCAGCUCUAUGACCACACGCGUGCUGACUGCUCUGAACAGAGGCUGACUUCCCUCAUACUAACCUUUAGCUGCUUUAUGUCCAACUGUAUGACAGCUGCAGAUCCUUACUGACUCACUAAAUCUAAAAUAAACCUGUUAUCUUUAUUCUAUAUAAGAUAAAGACAAACUGCUGCUUUCAUCUGGAAGUAUAACCAAAUACUGAAAUGUGUUUUGACGGGAAGCCGAGUUCAUGAAGCCUGUUCUGGCAGACAGAGAUGACAGAUGCUAAAUGGACGUGACAUUUGCUUUCAGUGACAUUUAUAAGGCGCCAUAAUGUGGAGCGAAUACUUCCUGCAAAGUGGAGUCAUAAUAAUCGAUAUAAACCACAAGACAUGAUAAGAAUCGAUGUGAUUGUUCCUUUGCAACAGCACUUUGACUGGGCAACAGUGAGUAAAUGACAUUUUGAUCAAUAACGACACAUGUUACCGGAUUAGAUGGGUUUCCUUUUCGAGCUGCUGCAAAACAGGAUGAAUUUUAGUUGAAGUGGAGAGUAUUAAGAAGUUUGCCUUGGAUUAUAGUAGCCAAAGAAGUAUUACAAUAAAAAUACUAUCAGUGAUAAUGAUGGAAAAGUUUGAACUUACAACAACACAGUAAGUAAAAUUAUGAAAAGGCAAGAAAAGUGUCAAACAAACAGGAAAAGGACCCAACUGCAGAACAGAAGUGGUUGUUCUGCAAUAAAAGUUAACAAAAACGAACUUUAAAUGUCCAACAGAAAUAUUCAAGGCGAAACCCAAAAGACCUAAAAAUCCAAAAAGGGCAAAAACCAAAAGAAGACACUCAAGACACACUGGGAAACGAGCAACGAGAGGCAGGUGAGACACCGAGACACAGGUGAGGACAAUCACAGAGGAGGGAAAACUGAGGAAGUGAAACAAGACUAGAAACACAGGGAAUAAACUACUACAAAAUAAAACAGGAAGCACUGAGAUAAGGAAUAAAACACUGAGAACACGAGGGAACCGGGGUCAGACACAAACUGAAAACUCAAGACAAGACUUCAGGAGAACAGGAACAACUGGAACUGUGACCCUAUUUGUCCUGUUGAUGAAGUUAGGUGCUGUUCUGAGCAUUAUUUGUGGCUAUAGAGUGGCGUUUUGGUAUCGCUGUCCUGCAGUAGUUACUAAAGUUGGUUUAACUAGAGAAGCAAGCGGUCGGCAACAGUCUAACUCGGCGUUACAAUGUGUUUGACCUUAACUUAAUUUUACGCAGGAAUAUCCCUUUAAAGAGCUGAGUCAACCCAGUCCACAGAAACCAGUACAAAGGACCACCUCUAUAAACUAGAGUAUUUAGUUUAUUGAUGAUAAAUUACUACAACAGCCUUACUUCAAAGUACCGCAAACGUACUACAGCUCCACAGUGGGAUGCCACAAGGUUCACUUCUGGGUCCUCUAUACUUUAUCUAAAUAAAUUGAUUUGGACAAACAGUCUCAAACUCUGCGCUUCACUUCUAUGCCGACAAUACAAUCGUUUUCAGCUUUGUUUUAGAUCUUCAGAAAAUAUUUGACCACUUUUUCAACUGGACUUUGUUCCACUUUGUUUUUUUAUCAACAAAACUGAAAAACGGCCUCGUCUCCUCGGUACACAGUGAGAAUUAGGAAGGAAAUUACAAGGAGAGAAAGAGGAUUCAAAAUACCGUCAAAAACUCAUUUCACAAAACAUUUCAUUUUAUGACAUUAUUACCAUCCAUCCAUUUUACUACCCAUUCAUUUCACAUCCCCACCUAAUCUGCUGAGGGUCGAACGAGCCGCAGAGUCCACAGCAGCAAACCCACCCACUCACACUCAGAGCGGUUUUAAUUUUUCCACAUCGUCUAACCUGAAUGUGUUCGGAGUGUGGGAGGAAAACCGGAACUCACAGACACCCUGACCGAAGGUUUGGCCUUAAUUUGAUUGGUUACUCCAAGAGUGCGUUCGCGUCGGCCCCUCGGUGACCAAAGAGCAGCGCGAAUUUAUCACCCGACGUUUCUGAAGGAGAGACGGACGUGAAAGAGUGAAAUACGGGUUUCAUGUGUUGGAGGUGAAAGAUGAGGGUGUCAGUCUUAAAAGCCUUGUCGACAACAGCUGAUGGAUGGGCGCCACUUUCACAGACACAUAAUACACUGACCCUGCGGUGUGUGUGUGUCUGUGUGACGAAGUUUAAAAGAUUUUUAUGACGGUACUUUUGUUAUUUAACUGUGAUUUAACAUUUCUAAAGCAUGAAGAUACCCCCUCAUUUCAGAGACACUUCCCCAGAAUAAACCUCCGAGCGCACAGAGAGACUUCCAGGGAACAUAAACGUCCCACCACAGAUCCAGCUGAGCGGCUCGACCAUGAAUCAGGCCGUGUGCUUAUUUUGGCCGAGGGAGAUACAUUCCCUGCUUCCUGCAACGAGGCGAACGUUAAACCUGAUAUAAAAAAAAUCAUUGGUCAGGGCUCGAUGCUCCAUAAAUGGCCUUUAGCAGCCCAAUAAAAGGAUGAAUUUAUGAGGAAGGCCCAAUAAUCUCGAUGAGGACAGUCAUGGAUACGGUCGCUAAAUGAUCUGAGUUCCCUCCAAACAAACCCGUAAUGGUAUCAUGGUGGAUGCAUCCGUUCAGAUGAGCAGAUCCAGCUUCUGUUCACAGAUGAUCACGAGAUCUGUUCAGUUUUAUACAGCGUGGAAAAAUAGAGUCAGAUUCUGGACUAUACACCAGAUUAUACAUCACACUGUGGAUAAACGUGUCUAUGUUCACACAUAACCUGGGAUUUCAAUCUGAAGCGGCAGCGAUUUUCGCUGUCCACCAACUCCUACCAGAUCCGUUUGUGAGGCGAAUUUCAUGGGGGAUUACAGACAGCAGGAAUCAUGAGAACUCACGAGAACCCGCGGAUUCACGUUCAAUCGCACAAUAAGAAGUUGUCUCUAUAAAGACAGACACAUAGACAUAUAAGCAGUAGAUUGUGUCCUUCCAGAGGAGGAAAUCUACUUCUAGACUUCUAGAAUAAGCAUCUCCUCAUCCAUGGUGUCAUCGGGGUGAAAUGACGUCUAAAAACCUUUCACUUGUUCGUCUUCGCCGUGUUUUAUUUUGAAAAGAAGCCGGAUGUUUUAUUUUGAAAAGAAGCCGGAUGUUUUAUUUUGUGUCUGUGCCCGACUUCCUUUCCAGCACGGGUUAAUCUGUGCUGAAUUUAUCCGCCAUGCUCCGGCGUCUGGAAAAAAUAGAACUCUUGUGAUCAGCUGAGGAGUCCGGCGAUCCGCAGAGGAACGGAAAGAAGUCGGUGUAAAUUGACACGUUAACUUGAAUGGUUACGAUCAGCUACGAUCGGAGGAUACGACCUUUUAGGAGACGAUCAGGAUGAAGGUGGAAGUUGGUGGAAACAGGAAUCACUCCCAACAAAUGCAUUACAGACAGCCACUCAUGUAUGACUUGUUUGUCCACUCUGUGACACCGUAGACACACAAAAGUUGACCUGCUCCUUUUACAAAAGCAAAAAAAAGACGCUCUGAUUUAAACACAAUUGUGAAUAUUAUUUUCUAUUUUUAUCACGACUCUCAUGUAAAAUAUUGCAGACUGCACCUUUAACUCCAACAUCAACCCUCUCUGUCUAUGUGUGUGUGUGUGUGUGUGUGUGUGUGUGUGUGUGUAGAUUUAUGACUGCAAGAGUUGUGCGUGUGUGUGCAUUAGUAGUUGUAUUUCACAUGUCAGGCUUUUAGGUGUAAAGUGCUCUACUGAACACACACACACACACACACACACACACACACACCUUUUCCCUGAGUGUGGGUUGUUUAUCAAUGUUUGAAAUCAAUUUAUCCAAACAGUAAUUUACUUUCUGCAGAGAGAGGGGUCAGAGGUCAGACGAGGGAAGAAGGGUUCGUAUUUUUCAGUUUGUGUUUCUUUUUUAUUUAGAGCUCGUUUGAUGUUUUUAUUCAUUUGGAUUUAUGCAGGCAUGCUGGGAAAACAGUGGAUACGACAUAUUUGAGAAAGUACCACUCACCGCAUGAAGAGAAAUUGGAUAUGUGGACAGAAAGCAACAGACGCUGAUGUAUUUAUGGAAACGAGAGUAAAAAAAAAAACAAGUUUGAUAGAAAAAUGGAGUCGGGGAUCAAGAGUUCAAAGAGAGAGAGAGAGAGAGAGAGGAGAGAGAGGAUCUGAAACGAUAAAGAGAUUUACUCAGAGAGGAAACGAGGUUAUAGAGACGUGACUAAAGGACGGCGAAGAGUGAACACGACUCUGAGACGUAGAUCCUCCUCAUGUUUGAUAACAGCUGAGUCCGGUUUCAGGUCCGCUGUGUUCCCCUCUCCCUCCAUGACCCUCAUGUGUGUCACCUGUGUCUCUUUAUCGUCUCUCCUCGUGUGUGUUUGUCUUCCUCAUGUUUGUCCAAGUCUGUUCUGACCAAAGACCCGUUUAUUUCCACUCAGCUGAGACGAUCGACUCCAUGACUCUGUUUGAUUUGUUUUAAUGGAUAAAGUUUCAUCUCCACAGAUCGGAGGAAAGUCAGAUUUGAGCGCCUGUAAACACAGCAGCUGUUCUGCUGCCCACUUAUAUAAUCAUCAUUACACUCAGGUUUAUUGUCAUUGCGUUCAUUUUGGCGCCUCACGGUGGAAAAUUAAAUUACAAACAGAAUCUAAUGGGCCGUGAGUUUAAUGAGGCACAGUGUGUUCUGUCAACACCGUGUUCCUGCAGGAAUUGUGGACCAGAACAUCAGAGGGACGAAGAGGAGAAACUUUCCUGUCAGACGAUCGCUGCACAGAUGUUUCUCUGUUCAUGUACAGAGAUGAAAAAUCCUGAAUCUGCACAAACUCUUCUGUAAGUUUAAGAUAAAACCAUCACACUUCAAUGUUUACCUCACUUCAUCGGAGUCAUAUAUUCUCUCUUUACUGCGUCGGUUUCAGGCAGUCAAUCAAAAGCAGAGUCAGUGUAGGUGUCGUAUUUAUGCACCUGUACAGUAUGUGUAUCUCAUAAAGAAAGAACAGACGGAGGUCAAACAUGAUAAAGUCACUUUACUUCUUGUUUCUGUGUUUGCACAUGUGUUUAGACUAUAUUUACACGACAUUUCACCCUCUAUGUUUACAAAGAAACUGUGCACACCACUACGUUUUCAGAAAAUUCGUAGUUUACAUUAACCUGAGUAUAUAUGAAAUGCUGUCAACAGCAUAUCAAACAUGUGGGUGAGAGUGAAGCGAGAAGCUAAAGCCCACGUGAGCCUAUCAGAAUCCCACAUAGCAACAACAACAACAACGUCACGUCCUUCUUUCCGGCGCACAAUCUGCUGUCGGUGAUCCAAAUCUCUGGGGUUUUUUCAUUUAAAUGCAAGUUUUGGAGUUUUUAAAAAGCAUCGUUUUCAGGGGUCAGUUCUCCGUUUGCGUCUAAAUGUGAGUGUUUCUAACGGUUCUCAGUCUGUGCAGUAUCUCAGAUAUUUACGACUCUGACCACACGGCUGAAAAAAACACAUAAAAAGCUGCUCUGAUUUUCUCGUUCUUGACUUGAACUCAUGACUCGUCAUUAAGUCUGUGUCCUUGUGCCGCUUCAUUUGCAUUUCCACUAAUGUUGGUCUUUAAAGUUCAGUCGUCAGUGAUCCUCUCUUCUGUAAUUAGACGGCGUCGCCUCCUGUCUCCUCCUUUCUCCUCUUUUCUCGUUUUUCCUCGUUUCUUCAUCUCUUCAGACUAACUCGGAUGUCUUUGAUCCCAUCUUGCCCCGUAACAUCCACACUCAUUUCUUCCUCCGUCGCUGCUCCGCCUUCACCGCCGCCUCCUCCUCUGGCCUGUCAGGGUGAUUAGCCUCGUCUCAUCGGUUGCCAAGCAACCUGACUAAUGACAGUGGACUAAUUUUUCCACUCUGGUCCAGCUGUCCACAUGAAAAAGGAGGAAAAGUGUUCGUGUGUAAGAUUAAUUUGUCACAUUUGUUCUCGUUUUAAUGAGAUCACUUUAACGAGUCGAGCUGCUGCUGCACCUGUAACAUCGUUAAUCUCAUCUUUACACCCAAAUACUUCCAUGUUUAAUAUCAUCAUUAAUAAUCUGCAGUUUGUUUUAGCUUCGCAGACACAAACAGAAGUCAUCAUUUCAUGUGGUCUUUAAUUCGGAGCAGCAGGGAGGAGAAACGCGCUUCCAGAGAUAAACGAGUUAAUCACGAAUCACUCCGAGUCUGGUCCUCAUGUGCUGCAUCCUGCUGCUUCAAAUCUGACGCUCUGAGGAGAAGAUGAACAAAGAUAAUCAUGAGUUUGCAGCAACAUCGUGAAAGAUGACGUGGGUGUUAUUCUUUACACAUCUUUCUAACCAAGAAACCUUCGAGCUGAUUGGUUAUCGCGACACGAAUAUUCGCUCAAGUUGAGACAUUUUCAGCUCCCGCCCAAUUCGCAUCGUUUGUCCUGCCAGAGUAGUAGUAGAGUCCGAUCGCGUCUACACAUUGACUUAACAUGUAAGUCAUUCGCACAAAUGUGGAGACACUUUAAGUUAUAAUAAUAAUGGCAGAGUUUUAGUUUGAGGGAUCAAGACUCACCUCAUUCAUACAGUGGCUCUGUUUACAUGGGCAGUUUUAAGUGAAUCUGAUUCCAUCUGUACACAUGAAUUUAAGUAAAGAGAUCCACGUUCAGUCCGUGUUUUCAUGGGCCCAGCUGAAUCCAGCUGUAUUGUAUCAAUGGGAAUUGUUAAUAGGAACCAUUGUUUUAGUUCCGUUUUAGAGUUGCGCAUGGACGUGUUUGUGUGUGACACCGCCGGAGUUACCAGACCGAGCAGAGUAAGGAACCCUAUGUGUUGAAGUUUAAUAAAAGUAUAAUCCAGCCGGGUUACACAGCAAGAAGUGUACACAACGAAACGACACACUUUAACGCUCCACCGUCCAGUUUUUCUGUUUGUUCGCCAUGUUUGUUUUCGUUCGGGCGCGCUCUGCGUACCUCACUGCGUGGCUCUUACGUACUACCGAGCGUCUGCGCAGACCGAACACGCCUCUCUGUAAACCCAAUCCGCUCCACUCAGCCGUAUAUAUGGAGCGGAUUAUCAAUCGGCGUAGACUACCUCUUUACAAUCUGACCCGAAAUACAAUCAGAUCCGGGUGAAUCAGAUUGGCGAAGGUGUUUAUAUGAGACAUUUUGAAUCUGAUUGUAAACAGGAUUUUUGGACCCAUGUAAACGGGCCCACUGACGGCAGAAGCUGCAGAAUUAACAGACCCAAUUCAGACAACCAUCCUUCUGAUCCUUCCACUAAUCCACAGCCGCCCCUGUAGUUCGUAUUUUCGGCAUUUACACUCCUGAUUUUGUUUACAGCUGCAGUAAAUCCUUCUCUGCGUUUGACCGCUCAGACGACAAACCUGGCUCAUUCCUGUUAAGAUGAGAGCCGGUUAGGAAGCGUCCCCGUCUGCUAACUGUGUUUCAGACCGAGGUUACGCUCCUGACUGACCCUGAGGACAGUCAGUCUAAUUAGUUAAAUCCAUCUAAAGACUUAAACAGAAUCUGUGACAUGACUCCAACAUAUGUCUGAACUCGCACACCAGACUAAAGCAAAUGAUUUCAUUAUCAUUCACGUCUUGGGUCUGUCUCUCUCUCUCCUUAUUCUCUCGCUCCAGUUUGUCAUAUUUGACUCGGCAGAUGAAGAAAUGACUCUGGAAUUGGUCGACUUUUCCACACAAUUGAAUCAGAGCUGAAGCCUCAAACCGCUCCUUCAGAUUCCCUCUCUGACAUCAGCUCCGCUAUUUUCUUUUCUUGUCGUCGCCUCCUGUUGAAUUUAUGAUCGUCUUGGUCUCGAACACCCAAACAACUCAGACAGUCACACACAAUCACACCGGUCCAAUGAAGCAAGACAGGAGAGAGAAAGAGGAGCGGCGUAAUUACUGUCGCUAUCACCGCCAUCCUUUUAUCUUUCGGUGACGCAACCGGGGAGACGUAAGAUAAAAAUAGGGAGGCAGGAGGAGAAGAUGUGACGAUAAAUCGGAGGAUAAACAGGGGAUUAAAGGAGGAGGAGGAGGAGGAGGGGAGGAAGGUGGCAUGACUGUGAUCACUUCUGACAAGCUGUACUUUCUUAUGCACAAAUAUAAAUACAAACAACACAAACAUGCAAAUUCAGCCGCAGUAUAAACCUCCUGAUUCUUCUCUCUCAUCACUCUUUUCAUCGAGGUUCGACUCGUAUUUACAGCAAGAUACCGUUAAUCUAAGUUUCUGAACUCCUCAGAAUUCGGAUAAUCGAGCGUGACUUGGUGUUUAAAAAUUCAGCAGCGUCGACGAUCAGGCUGUUUGCCGACUUUGUGCAUGAUUGCUUUUUGUGUGUUUUCCUGACAGGCUUUGAUUCUUGUAAUGUAGUCUACUGAAGCCUUUGUAAUCACAAAAUACGGCAUAUAUUAGAGGUGCGUUUGAUUCAAGCCUGUUUUAUAUUCUGACUCGACAACCCCGAGUUUGAAACAGCUUUGACAUUAACCCUUUGAACUCCAAGCUUUAUUUUGCUAUUUUUAGUUCGCCUGUUUGUGGAAAUUGAUCCCAACAGAACUUUGCUCCAAAACCACAUAAAUCUACAGUGACCAAGCCUUUUCUCACCUGCACAUCAUUCUCUCAAGUCUUGUCUAUCAGGAGAAGAAAUAUUGGGAUUGGAACAAACACACAACAGAAACUAUUGACAUAUUUACACUCAUUCUUCCAGGCGUUUUUGACUGUUUACAGUUGUUUCUGCCACUCCUGGGAUGAGACAGAGGACCACAUCAUACUGCUCAGAAUCUCUUCUUCACUUGUUUCCAAACAUUGAGGGAACAAUAGAAGAUGAGAGUUAAAGAGCUUGGACCUGAUCUUUGCAGGAGAAGAUGAGAGUUAAAGAGCUUGGACCUGAUCUUUGCAGGAGAAGAUGAGAGUUAAAGAGCUUGGACCUGAUCUUUGCAGGAGAAGAUGAGAGUUAAAGAGCUUGGACCUGAUCAAACAGACAUUAAAAUAAACCUGCAUUUAUUUGAUCGAGGGAGGAAGUGCAGUUUAUGAAUCUUUAGGAUCCGGUCCUCUAAGGGUAUGAGAAGAAUAUGAGGCCGUGUAAUUGGUCUAAAGUUUGGCUUGUCAAACCUGGAAGACAUUAGCGGCAUUUAGCAAUAGCGAUCUUUUUCGAUCACAACAAUUUGAUCAAUAAUCCUGUUUUCACCGUAUAUCACUGCGGAUUUACCAUCAAUCGUCUCUGAUCAAACACCUGUUUUUGUGGCUGGAUUGUAAACCUUGUGGCAGGUGUAGAAAUGUCUGGAAACCCUCGAUAGAUCGACAAAAGGGUAAGCUUUUGAACACUUUUUAUCCCGUAGAGAUACACUGUAAAAAACUAUAAACAAUAAUAAUGGCGUCACGUGGGAUCGACGGCGAUCCAGCGGAGUUCUGAGUGCUGGAUAAAAAGUGACUUCUCUUAUAUUCCAGAUUCAGCAGUCAGAGGUUCAGAGUUCAGUCCUGCAGACUCAGAACCUCAGGCAGCUUUGUCCUGUCUGUUCUUCCUUCAGGCUAAAGUCUUAACGUGACGAAGCGUUCGUCCUCGGGGCGUACUCACCCUGCGGCUGCGAGACGACAGGUCACGUUUAGUAAAAGAGACUAAAACCUCUGAAAUAAAGCAGGGUUGUAAAAUUCAGUCGACAAGUUUACAUACAAACAACAUAUGGGAGUCCCACAAGGCUCAUCCUUAGGCCCGCUCCUUUUUUCCAUGUUUAUCGAUGACCUUUCCGUCCUUCACUCUGCUGAAAUUCAUCUAUAUGCUGAUGACGCAAUUGUUUAUACGUACGGUAAAUGGAAAAUCUCAUCCUCACAACUGCGUAUUGUCUAAACCGUAAAAACUCGCCCUCCUCUCUCUCUCUCUCUCUCUCUUUCUGUCAGUACCACACCUGCUGAUAUAAGUGCUGGGCUCAUCCCUUCACCUCCACCACCUCCCCCCAGCAUCCACCUGCAGGCUCCGACUACAGCUGGUUUAAGACCUAAUCUCAUCACCGCUCAAUUUUCUGCAAGAAAAAAUAAAUCUUCGAGGAGGUCCGGGCCUGGAAGCUGAGCUGUUCUGAUGCAACAGACUAUUUCAAACCAUCAGAAAUGUGAAGUGUCUGACAGGAAUACAGAAAAGUUCGAUAAAUAUUUAUGUGCCGGUCGGAUUGACGAGUCCUCUUUGGAUAAACGCGGUUCGAGAGCCAAGAGUUUGAUUCCAUUCCAGGCCACACCAAGGACUGGGAUGUAGACUAACUUAACUGGCCGACACUGAGCCUGAAUGCUGCUGUUACUGGCCUAGAUAUGUUAUGAUAAAAUGACUAUGGCUCAUUAACCUGCUGUAGACCGCACUUAGCGUGUUAGCUUAAACUGUUUUGGCGCGGUACUUUAAUCAUACCUGGUUUGCUUCUCUGGAAACGCCUCUUAUUUGUUGCACUUCCUCUUGACUCCCUCCUUCUUCCUCUCUGCCUCACCUUUCCCUCUCUUCCUCCUCACUUCACCUGGAAUUAAUGCUGUACUGCCGACUGAGAAGCAGUAGGAUGUCAACAUUAAAUCAAGUCGGGAUUAAUCGCACAGUGAGAUCGUAUCUUGUUCGUCGGGUAGAGAUAAACAACCCCGAGUCUCAUUUUGCAUGUUUCAGUGCAAACCAACUCUACGCCGUACAAACGCUCCUACAGCUGCUUCUUUGGCGAUGGAGAUGCAAAGCUGGCAGACUAGUGAAGAGUCGGUUCAGAGCGAUUUCCCAGACUGGAGAAGCAGCAAGUGGGUAAUUAUUGAACGCGUCGUGAGGGAGUCAUUAAUAUCAUAUUUUGCAGCACGAGUCACACAUUCAGAGGUCUGUUCGCUCACUCCUGCUGUUCUAACUUCAGGUCAAGUGGACCCUCAGGCCUACUUACACAAUUCCCAAAUUAAUAUUAGCACCACAUGCAGUUUUAAAUUGUUGCUUAGAGCCGAAAAUCUGGUGAAACGACUUCGGGUAUCCACCGUUUUUUUCAUUUUGCAUCAUCAGCGGGUCAAAUGCCGGUCCUCAUACUCCGACACGAGCCUCUUUAGAGAGCCUCCUGUUGCUCUACAGCUGCUCUCUGUGAAUGUAGAGAGUGACAAAGAGCAGCAGGUCCGUGUUGUAGAGCAGCUGCCAGACUGAGACGGUUAACAGUCUGCAGAGAGCCCACGCUGUGUACGAGGAGGGAGGAGAGUUCAGCAGACAACACGCGUCCUUCGGCGAGAUUCGAGUUUGCUAUUAUAUCAUUUUACGGCUUUUAAUUAGCUGCUUCUUCCAGAGAAUGAGGAUGUUUUUUUUCUAGUUUGGGGGUUUUCAGACAAAUUAUCGGACUGUUAGUCUGUGUUAAACUCAUCAUUGAUCGGGUAAUAUCCUGUAAUUUGCUCCUCUGAGGAUCUAACGAGUGAAUUUACAGACUUGAAUUCUUGCCACAACUAAAAGGAUUAUAAUACAUAUUUUUUUUACAAUAAUGCGCUUUUGCUUUAUUUAAUGUGUCUCCAUUCAUUACCUCCACCGCUUCCUGUAACCACCGCUCUCAUCACUAACUCCAUUGACGUAUUUAUCCGUCUGAAUGUUUCCUGUUGUCUGAUUCUCUCCAGUAGUCCCGCUGUUGAGCAUUAAUGUUAAUUACUCCUUAAUUGAAGCGUUUACCUCGUUAAAGCUCUCUCUAUCUCUCAUUAUGUGCCAAGAGUUGAUUUGUUGUGUUGUUAUAAUUAGGAGACGGCAUAAAUUACCUCACAAUUACCAAUGUAAAAAGUUCUCUGUUUGUUUAAUGCAACAAAAAGUUUGUUUUUUUAACGCUAACUUAUUGAAAUUGACAAUCAGAGUGGAUCGGACGACCUCUCCGAGCUUUUCUCUCUGCCAGUUUUGAAGAAACUUGGACAGCGGUGUUGGGGAGUGAGAGCUGACUUCUUUAUUUAUCCUUGAAGAGUAUUUUCAUCAUUCGGUUUGUUUUUCCACAACUAUGAGCUCUGGCGUCAAAUGCAUGAAAGAAGUCCAAGGCUGACUCAUGCUUUGAACUCUGCCUGGGUGUUUGCUGAUAUGUUUCUUGGAGCGAUGCAGAGGCGUCCCCGUUUGACAUCUGUUCUACGACCCAAAUGCCAAGAAAAUUAGAAUAAAGACAAGAUUAAUGGAUUUAAAACAGAUGAAAUAUCUGAUGUUGAAGGUGAAAAAUUUGGCUGUUUGAUGGAGAAUAAAUGCUCACUUCAAAUGUCCAGAGAAACUGACCCCCAACGAAAACGCCGCAUCCUCCGAUCGUAGCUGACCGUAACCCUCCAAGUUAACGUGUCAAUUUCCAACGACUUCUUUCCGUUUCGCAGCUGAUCGAGAGGGCAGCCGCAGCAGCAGCAGCGUGUUCAGCUGGACUCAUCUUCAUCUGCUUCCAGCUCCACUGACCUUUGAAGACUUACAAGUGCUAAUGGAGACACUAAUUUAAGACGUCUCUAUAAUAGCUAGAACUUCUUCUCCUCUUUCUCGCCGUCCCCCUUCAUCAUCCCCCAUUACCUGAGGAUUCUCGACACACAUAUAAAGAGGCUCUAGACCACAUAGAUACAGACAGCAUAGAUCUAUUUAUGCUGACUGACAUUCAUAAUUUAAAUUACAGGCAGAGCGGGUAGGAGGCUGCUUAAGUGCGCUGACUGAACAGCAUAAUGUAGAUGUUUGUGAAAUGGUGUAUAAUAAGCCUCGUGAAAUUAUACACAUGGUAUUCUGCUGUUAGCCCACUAUCCAUCCCACAGCAUUACUUAGUGUCACAGCAGGCACACCUUUCAGGUGCCCCAGGUGGUGGAGAUCUCAGCGAGGCGUGCACUGAACGGGAUACUUAAAUAUCAUCAGCAUAGAAGAGGAUCUAUUCUUUACCCCGAACUACUAAACUUUGAUUUCAGCUUCUACAAGCAGCUGUUUUUUUUUUUUAUGUGCAAGAUACGACUACCAGACACUCGUGAUCCCCAAAGUGAUGCAAAUACUGGCUUUUGAACCACCAAGUGUUACCUGGGAUUUUCCACCAAAUCCGUAACGGUGGCGAUUUUCACUGUUCGCCAAUUCCUACCAGAUCCAUUUGUGAGACGAAUUUCGUGGCGGAUUACGGACAGCAGGAAUUGUGAGAACUCCGCGGAUUCACAUGCAAUUGCGCGAUAACGAGUUGUCUCUAUAAACACAGCCACAUAGACAUGUAAGCAGUAGAUUGUGUCCUUCCAGAGGAGGAAAUCUACUUCUAGAAUCAGCGUCUCCAUGCUCCGGCGUCCGGAAAAAAUAGAACUCUUGAUCUCUCGAUCUAGAAGAGAGUAGGUGAGUUGUGUUUAGUCUCUUUGCUAAAGAAAUGAGUCAAAGUUAAAAAGAUGUUUGGUUACUAGUCCUAUGUCUGUGACCCUAUAUGUCCUGUUGAUGAAGUUAGGUGCUGUUCUGAGCAUUAUUGCUAUUGUAUUACUAUCCUGCGGUCGUUACUAAAGUUGGUAUAACUAGAGAAGCAAGCGGUCGGCAACAUUCAUCUCUCGAUGGGUUGUCUAACUUGGUCUUUCGGUGUGUUUGACCCUAACUUAAUUUUACGCCGUAGAAAAAUAUUGGAUAUCUUAUGAGCCGACUGCGAUGAAUCCCAGUGGUCCUCCUGGGGCUGAUCCAGUAUAUCAGUGUCCUUGGAGACCGGUCACUCAGUGGUCUCAAAGAAUCCUUAAAUCUGCAGAAUUCAUGAUCAUCGCAGUCUUACACGGGCAUCAUUUUGACUUUAACGUAACAGCUGUUCAUCUUCUCAGUGUAUCAUGAACUCUUUGUUUACCUCUUUGUUUUCCUGUAUCCUCUAUCACUCCUUUAUUCUCUUUCUCGGCUCGACUUUGAUCAAUGAUUGAUUCCUGCCUUCAGUCUGCGAGCCAGAGUAACAAUCGAUGGACCACAGCGGCAGCCUUUUGAAUAUCCAACCUCUACUUUUCAUCAAAUACAAAGAGUAUUACGUUUGUGGGAUUUCCGCCUCUGUAAUGAUAGUAAUCUGCGGUUGAAAGAGAAAUGCUGGAACAGGAAUAGUGGGUAAAAUCAGGCGCAGAAAUAUGGGAGACUGUGUGGCUGAGUCUGCAUCUUAAAAGGAAGCAAUUUAAGAGUGAUUGCGACGCGGCAGAAGGAGGAUUUUCCAUUUCACAAGCUCCGAGCGCUGCCUUAAAAUGUGUCCUUCCUUUAACAGGCCUCAGCAGCUCCAUAAGGCACAUCCCCGGUGACCUAACCUCUCCUCAGCUUCAUUGAGUGCCACGUCAAGGGUAGAGAAAUCCACUUUAGUGUGUAAAUAUCUGCUAACUGUUCGAUCAAGGAGUCAGCGUUACACAUGUCCGACAGUCGGACUGUUCUGCCCAGAUAAUAUGGAUGGGGAUCGGUUUUCUUUUGCAUCUUAAUCGGACUGAAACGGGCCGAAGCAGAUCAAUGACAGCGAAGUUUGGGACCCUGUCGUUCCUGCAAAAGCCCUGAUGAUCAAAAACACUGUGAUCACACAGGAAGACUUACUGGCAGAGCUGAUGCACUUGAUUACUUUAGGUGUUGUUGCCGAUUAGUGAGCAUGUUUAUGUCCGUGUGUUGCCAUGGUGAUCUCUAAAAGCUCUGAAGCUGUGUGGUGGAGUGUGCAGUCAGCUGAUCGACGUUUCUAACAUCCUUCUCUAACUGACCCCUGCCGCACACUGCGGAUGAUUAAUGACUGGACUUCAAUUGGGCCCGAUCAAUACUCAACACAGAGAUGGGUGUAAAGUUGAAAAAACUAAAAUAUGAACACUUGACCUGCAGACGAUCCAGAAACCUUAAUUUCCCCCAUGAGCUGUUAGUCACGGCCGCUGCCGCCGCUGUAUCCAACGGACAGUUCAGUCACACUGAGAUCACCGUCUUCCCACCUGGUCCUUUAACCUCCUGCAGCACGUUUCUGUCGAGACUCUCCCUCUGUGUACUCGCUCGAACUCUGCAGUGACCCCGAGGUGAGAAUCCUGCUUUUAAAAGCCUCUUUAUUUGAGGUUAAUAAGGCUGACGUGAUCGACAUGGACACAGCAGAAAUAGCCCCGCAUAAUGGCAGACCCGGGUGGACUUGAGUACAUGUGAUUGGUGUGGAUCCCCCCGAACCUCCUGACGAUGUAGACUCGUGUACUUCAGUAUGGCGAAGGUAACUGUGCUCAAACAUGGAGGUCAAAGUUAUGGCGUGGAGGUCAUGCUGUACGAUAAGACAGUUCUGUCAUUUCUGCACGCCGUCCCCUGUGGAGGUUUUGUUUAAAGGGAUAUUCUGGCACAAAAUUAAUUUGCUUAAAUAAACAUACAGUCAUGUCCUGAAGGUUGGAUGAUGAAGAGAUGGCAGACUGCUCACAAACUAGCUGUAGCAGCGACCUGUAAAAACAUGUCAAAGUAAAAGCGUAACAAAUAAUCAGUUUUGAGUCAAUUACUCAUUUACUUUUUAGUUCCUUAUCUUUAUUUUGUUUGACCUUUUUAACGUCUCUCUACUUGCCUCAUCUGUAAAAACUCGUAUUGAGUCUUUAAACUCGACAAAUAAAACAUUAACGGACUGAAAUCCUCCUCUCUGCAUAUCCGCCACAUUUUCACUGCGUUGAAAAAGAUGUCUGAAGAUCUGAUCCAUCACAGAGGCUUCAAAUUAUAUCACCCACAUAUGAUUUCCUCGAGGUAUCACAGGGAAUACCAAAGCCACAGAUUUUUAUUUCCAAGCAGCAGGAUAAAGCGAGAGAUAUUAAGAAAUCAUUUCCACUGAUCUGUCAGACUGGUUCGGUGAGCUGAAGCUGAAAAAAUCUAUGAGAUAAGAAAAGGACAAAAGCAGGAUCAGGGAUGAGUCAAAAAUGAAAUAUUCUCUUUGUCUGUUUUUGCUUGACCUGAAAAAACUGGAGGGCGAGGUUCGGGUUUCUGCUCCUCCUUAUUGUAAGAUCUGACUUUUCCCCAAACACCAUCACAGAUGCUCCUCAAGAUGCUCUGCAGGAUUAAAUCUGAGGAGAUUUUUCACGGUUAGAGAUCAGGAUUUUAAAAAGCUGCUCGACUAAAACUUUAAAGUUUUUGAUUUUUGGCAGCAGAAAGCGUGACUAUCAGAAACCUAUUGUUAUCCACUGAAGCACAGGGAAACAAACUCAUUCAAUAGACCAGCGGUAUAUGAUAAUAAAACUGAUUACAUUCAUACGCUGAAGGUUUAACCCCCCCGUGAGUGGAACGUGAGUGUCAGCGGUGGGCUGCAGUUUCCACGCCGUGCACGACGGUCGACUCCGUCUCUGAUAAAAGCUGCAGUGAUUACCGUGUGAUGACUAAACAGUCCUGCAGCAUUUUGAGACGCUUUCAGCGCCGUUUCAUUUCCCUUAUAAACACCUCUGAGGCUGCACGCCAUCACUUCAACCAGGCGCACCACAGAUCUUCACGCAGGUCUCGUCUCUUUUAAUUUCAAUAAUCGCUCCUUGAAUGCAGCGUUGAUCUUGUCGCUGAGGGUGUACCAAAGGUGAUAAAAGUGAGUGUGCGAUAAAGUCUUCCUAGAAAUUACUCUGGAGCGACAUUUGUGUGAUUUGGCACCUUGGCUGUAAACUGCACAACUGGUGUUUUAGUUAUUGCAGGUAUUUAGAUGGAGUGUGAUUGGUGUGGGAUGGUGAGAGGUCCGGGGUCCAAAGAGUGAAGGAGAUCUGAGCAGAGCUUAAGAGCAGGUGGUGAUCAGGUUGAUCAGGUGCAGGUGUGAAGGUGUAGGAGGAGCUUCAGCUGAAGAGGAGCCGCCCAAAAGAGACUCCACAAAAAAACACAAAAAACAGCCUCCAUGUGUCCCUCAAGUGUUAAAACCAGUUUAAUCAUGACAGGGAGACUGCUUUUAGGUCUGGAUAUGGAUCAAUAAUGAAAUAGCCAAAGACGAACUUUAAAGGUCAUUGGAUCGCAACGAUGGCUGAAGGUCCAAAGAGUGGCUUCAUGAUACUAAAACUGAAGACUGGGUUGAGAGGAGUUCAGUUUAUGAUGCACGAUAUUUUCUUGCAAAGAGGAGAUAAAACAUCAAAUCAAGAACCUGCAGAACCUUUUAGGGCAGCGGUUCUCGAGUCCAGUCCUGCAUAUUUUGGAUGUUUCCCUGCUCUAACACACCUGAUUCAAAUGAUCAGCUCGUUAUUAAGUCAUUCCAGAGCUUCAUAACGAGCUGAUCAUUUGAAUCAGGUGUGUUGGAGCAGAAAAACAUCCAAAACAUGCAGGAGAGUCGAGCAGAUCCACAACCAUGACAGAUCCACAACCCUCUUUUUAAUGGCUGUUCCACACCCGGAAAUUUAACUUAAAAAACAUGUAAAUCAAUAAAUAAGUGACCGCAGUCACAUAUUUAUAUUUUAAUCUAGAUUUUAUUCAUUUUACUUUUUUUUUACUUGUCAUCUUUUUAUGUUUUGCCUGCCUACCUAUAAUAUUUUUGGUUUAUUCUACCAAAAUAUCAACUUAUAUUAUCCCAAUAUCAGAGGGAUUGGCCUUACUUUUAUACUCUUCAUUCCUUGGCGAUGAUUUUGACCCCCUGAGUGCAAUAGUCAGUGUCUGCAGAGCCACAUGAACAUAUUGAAUGUGAUAUUUUGUCUGUUUUUCUCAUAUAUUUUCACGUGCAAUCUCAUGCACAUUAUUUGACAUCGCACUUCUGUGUCAUUCACUACAAUGCUAGUAGCCUACAGGUUAAAUCUUGCAUUUCCGACUUCCGACAUGCUAAUGUUAGCAUUAGCUUGACCAAGAUUCGAUGUGUAUUUCAGACUAUAAUGGAAAGGGUUAGGGAAAAUGUCAUGAAUGGAGCCUUUCACAUUGACAUUUAUUUCAAAUUCAAGACAACAGUUUUAUUGAUAACUAAAAAAAAUAUGUGAUUCACGUUCGAUACGCGAUCAUGACGUCGCUCCAUUCAAGCCGAUAACUUUCGAGAAAGGAGCAGCGUUAAAAAGAGGGUUGUAGAUCUGUCACGGUUCUCCAGCUCUGCAGACACCCGCUACGCUCCAAAAGAGCUAAGAUAAGCAAAGCCAGACUUCAGAGCAAGUUCUGUUGGUUAAAAAGUAAAAAAAUACAACAAAUAACGUGCAAUAAACUUCAUGUAACUGGUCAGUAAAAAAUGAGUUAAUGCUGUUUAAUAUCCUAACAAUGUUUGUGUUGUACUCAAACUCAAGAGGUUUUUAAACCCGUGAACAAACACACUCCUAAGUGAUGUAACAGCAGCCGGUCUUAUUUGUAUGAGACCCGAGGGAGCCUCUCAAACGCCGUCAAGACCACGAAGUAAGUCACGCUUAUUAUGGAAAUGACGACAGCUUGACAGGCGUGAAGCUGAUUUAUCCAAAUAAGCUGUAAAGGCGCUUUCUAGCAGAGAAAAUCCAUAUGUUUUCAUUAUGUAUCUCAACAACAUGAUGCAACAAAGAUAAAUCAUGAAGAACAGUCUGUGGAGGAGCUCCUUUAUGUGUGAAGGACGUCUUAUUAAAGCCCGAGUAAAGAGUCCAUUUACAGAGAACUUGUACGAUCAGCUCUAUAAAAGACUUUUCAAAGUUUGACCACAAACAUUUGUCCAACUUUUUAAAAUUCAUGAGUUUACCCUCGAAUCGUCUGCAGACUUCUAAGCCCUCGAAUCGAUGCCGUGUCACUCUCCACCUCCGCUCUAACGGGGCGCCUGUGCGGUCUGCGGACUCAGAGGGGUCGGUCUUUCAUCAUUCGCUCGUGGGCGCGCUCAGAACCUCUCAGACACACGGGAGCUUUUGAGAAUCUAAAUGCUGAGAAAAAAUGACUCUGCUGAGCAAAUGUGCCCUCAGACAAAGCGAGCGGCUCCAAUCACAUCAAGCUGCUUCGAAUGGAAAUCCCUGCCUCACAUUUGGCCUCAUCACUCACAGACAUACUGGCCUUCAGGGGUGUUUUUUAUGAGCUUGUUGUAUCCUACAUUACACAGGAGUGUCUGCCACUCUGAUUGGACGCCCCCAGAGUUUAAACGAGUUUGGAGAGCGGACGUUAAAGGAACGGCGUCGAGGAAAUACAGAUAACUUUCUCCUUUAAUAUGUUUCUUCUGAACCCUCUGGGGAUGAAGUGAAACUUUUAAAUGAAAGAAAAAUGAAAGCGGAGAGGUUCGCCCAGACAACAGGUCUAAUCUAAAUUCUGCUGACUCCAGGAAAAUUAAUUUCAAAGCCCUGAAGAAGCUCAAAGGGAAUGUUUGAAUAGAAAUGAUCAUUAAUGAGCUGAAAGGGUCAAAGUACUCCUCAGAGAAGAAGAAAGUUUAUCUUAAAGGAAGAGGCGUCAGAAGUGUUUGCUUUCUGCUCACAUAUUCAUGAGAAAAGCAGACGUGUGUUUGUUCGACACCCACCGCCCCUGUGUCCUCUGUUCGGAUCACCCAGCCUGACUUUGAGAGGUCAGAUCUCCUCGACGUGAUAUCUGGCUUUGGCUUUGCAUGGCAGCGUUUCACUCGUAGACGAACUCUGUCCACAUUGUUAGAUCUUCUUCUGCAAAGGCAGCAGAGCUCGAGAGUCCAUCUCUUAGUCACCGACUGAUACAAGAAAAAACUGUGACAAUAGCAGCAGCAUAAAGAAUCAGACUUUUGAUCUGCAUCUGGGUCUGGUCUCAGAUUAAGGGUUCGGAUAUUCCGGUGAUUUUACGCCGGAGUAUCCCUUUAAUAGACUGAUGAAUCUAAAUACUAAUCUUCAAUCUCCUUGGGAGGCUGGGGGUCCAUACUGCAGAGCCAGAAAGUCUGAAAAGGUUGGCGGUCCAGGAUCAACCAAACUAAGACCUGCACCCGUGGUACGAGGGUUCAGAUCCAAUGCCGAACUAAGACUCAUUGCUGACUUCCUGUUUUCUUGAAGGGCUUUUUUUCGGAUCUACUGCACAUGGAGUUCCUGUAUCAUCUGUUUCAGUGACUCCUGGAUCUUUUGUGGGGAUUGUGUUAAAAAAAAAAAGACGUUUAAAGACCCGUAUCAGACAUCAAAUGACUGAAAGGACAAACACAGUUAUAUAGAUCCUGUCUAAACGGCUCAAUUACCUCAGACCUGAUUGAAAACGAAUAGAUCUUUGUUUCUCCAUCGAUGGUCCCGCCCCUGUUGGCCUCCUGUUAAGUGUUAUAUUUACCCUCAGCAGCAGGAGGCCUUUGAACCCGUUAAUAGCUUCUCCUGAAGUGUGCAGCGGUAAAAGGAUUGGGCGUGUUUGAUGUCAGGCCUGAAGAGACGUCUGGCGUGAUGAAAACAUCACCGAAAGAGAGAUAUGAUAGAGCAGAGAGACGGAGAGAGGCUGGAGUUACAGAAGAAGACUAUGUGUUUCAUCACGUCUUCUUUUUUUCAUCCAUGUAGACUUAUUCUCCGACUUCUGAGCCAGACCCACAACCUGCUAUCUCCACUAAAACUCAACAAUCCAGGCUCUGGUGUGUGUGAGGAGGACGCUACAAAGAAAACAUCCAGACAUCCGGAUCUUCCUGAGGGGAUUCUGGGUCGUUACAAAUCCAGGUGAGAUCUUCAAUCUCUGCAACUUGUCAUGGGAAGACCUCCAUCCAAACCACCCCGACCAGAUCUUUCACUCAGUGUGUUUACAUGCACAGCUCCAACACCAAUGUGGAGUGAACAGUCACACACAAACAGAUCAAUAAAAGUAGUUAGAACUACAAAACUGCUGUCAUCCACAAACAGCACACAAAGAUCCAACAAAAGGGACUGCCGCCACCACAACACAGAUGGGCAACAAGUCAAACAAACAGAACAUACCGUUAGGAAUACAAAGCAGCAACACAAGUGACACAACACCAAAUGUGGACUGCAAACCACCACACAAAAUGGUCACAUGGCAACCACCACUACACAAAUGUUGCCACCAACAAUCGUCACACAACGGUCCUAACUGUAAUCACACAAAGUGACCGAACAAAAAUGGGUAGCCUUCUGAAACACACACAUAGUACUGUAACACAAAACAAACAGGUCGUAUGAGACUGCAGAUACAAGAGCUGAACCUCAACGAGCGUUUAGAUCGUCUGACAUCUUGUGACGAUCAGUGACUAAUUCAGAUUAUUUCGUCUUUAAACCUCGACAUGAACAACGAGAGAUAAAAAAAGUUUUUUCCUCCACAUUUUAUUAUUCUUUUUUUAUCUUGAUGACUCCGUCCAGAAACCAUCACUGCAGUAUUUCACUGUGAACUUGUCUCUCUGUGUCGAAGCUUAUUAAAUAAAAUAUAAAACACAGGUGAGUGGCUCCGUUGCAAACCCGUUAACAAGAUACUUUUGAGCCUUUGCCGACUGCUCGGAUGUUCCCCUCAAGCAUUUCUGUCUGUCUUUCCUCCAACAUGAGCAAUAAACAAAAGCUCUUGUCUUCUCCAAGUCCCUCUGGGUUUGAUGUGCGCAUCAAGAUACAAACAGUCCUCUCAGCACCUUGAGAGGCUGCUAAACAAGCAGCGGAGUGCGUUGUUUAGUCUCCUCUUUCCCUCGCUCUCUUUGCUCGCGGUUAUCUGCUCCACUUAUCCAGCUGAGGCCCGCUGCAUUGAGACAUGAUGCAUUCACCGGAGGGAUCGCUCCUCCUCUCGCUCGGGCCUCGCAGAAAAGAAAUGACCAGCGGUGGCAGGAGUCCAAGCUCUUAAGGAAGAACAGACGGCCAAGCAGACUCCAGACUGAAGCCAAGAGUCCGUGUAACGUGGUUAUUAUCUUUGAUGAAGCCUCCUCUGCAGGAGCUGGAGUAAAACUUUCACAGUUUGGAGAUCAACUGAAGAACAGGCAGAAAUCCUCAAACUGGAGGAUUACAUGAAGAGCUGGAGAGCAGACGUUUUUAUUCCUGAAGGUUUUAUUUACCUGUUCCCAUUUAAACCUCAGUCACCAAUCACUGUCCUGUAUCCAUCCAGUCAUGUCUUCCUCUAAACUCAGACAACACCUACAGGAUCAGACUUGACGGGAUAUUCUGCAGAUCAAGGUGAUGCUAACCACGCUCACCCUGCUGCAUUAUUGAAAAGACGUGAAAACCUCAGAGCGUCUCAUUUUCAGGACUUCCUGCAGCACCUAAAGGCUACAUCCUCUCACCCUGAAGAAGAACAGCUGCUCCUCCUGCUGAUUAACCUGCUGC
rnacentral:lncRNA from 1 species